UACGUAGGGCGCAAGCGUUUGUCCGGAAUUAUUGGGCGUAAAGAGCUCGUAGGCGGCUUGUCACGUCGGGUGUGAAAGCCCGGGGCUUAACCCCGGGUCUGCAUUCGAUACGGGCUAGCUAGAGUGUGGUAGGGGAGAUCGGAAUUCCUGGUGUAGCGGUGAAAUGCGCAGAUAUCAGGAGGAACACCGGUGGCGAAGGCGGAUCUCUGGGCCAUUACUGACGCUGAUGCGCGAAAGCCAGGGGAGCGAACGGG
rnacentral:rRNA from 1 species